AAAAGCUUAUUGCUUUUUGUUUUCUCCAGGUUGCCAAUAACUCAAUAAAAUUGACUACUUAUUUGUGGUAUUUUUGUAGGAUGGUCUUCCUGGAAUCGGAGUUGGUGCCGAAAUGAUGAAAUGAGGACUAGGAAGUGGAAUUCAUAAUUGAGCAAUUGUGGAAUUUCAGAAUGGAACUGAGGACCAAGUGAAGAAGAUUGUUGACAGACUGACGGUGCUGAAAUUGCAUCUAUAAAUGUUGUUGAGGUUAUGGUAAGUCCUCCAUUUGUGUUCCUUACCUCGGCUAAAAUGUCAUUGUAUCAUGAGAUUCAAGUGGCUGCUUGCUGGGUGAAGAAAGGAGGUGCUUUCACUGGUGAAGUUAGUGGAUUGACUACCAAAAAAACUACACAGAGCUUGCUCAAUAGUAUCAGAAGUACAAGGAUCAAGUUUUUGAAGAAGAUGAUGGUGGUAGUUAUGCUAAUUUCAGAGAGGAUGUGUUGGUUAUAUUUCAGGUUACACUAGUCAUUUCAUGUAUAUUUCAGCUUUUUCACAUGUCAUUUCAUGUAUAACUUCUAUUUACACUAGCCAGAUGCAUCUUCAAUUUGUCUUCUCUUUUAUUUUUGUUGUUCUCUUAAAUAUUGAAUAAUAUUUGUUUGCAUUAUUGUUUUGGCAUUGGUUCAUAUGUCUUUUCAUUGUAACUGUUAUCGACAUUAAGCACUCUUAUGGACUAUUUUUUGUUGUUA